rnacentral:rRNA from 1 species
AAAAAGGAUGAGAUAGCCAAAGUGUUUGUGGAUCAUUUCAAAUUAUUUGUUGGGAAGCUUUUGAAUAAUAGAUUAAAGCUGGAAGGAUUAGAUUAGCUCAGCCUGUCUGAAGAGCAAGCAAGUUGGUUACAGAGAAGCUUUGAAGAAGAGGAAAUUAGGCAUGCGGUGUUUUCAAUGGACAGAUCCAAAGCUCAUGGGCCAGAUGGUUUCACUAUGGCUUUUUAUCAAGAUUGUUGGAAUGUGGUAAAAGAAGACCUUUAUGAUGUGUUUAAGGAAUUUGAGGAUAAUAAUAAAGUAAGCCCUGGAGUUAAUGCUACCUUCAUAGCCCUAAUCCCUAAGAUGAGAUUGGGCGUAAAGCGUUUAUAGGUGGCUUUUCAAGUCCGCUGUCAAAUCCGAGGGCUCAACCCUGGACAGGUAGUGGAAACUACUAAGUUGGAGUAUGGUAGGGGCAAAGGGAAUUUCCAGUGGAGCGGUGAAAUGCGUAGAGAUCAGAAAGAACACCAACGACAAAAGCACUCUGUUGUGCCGACAUUGACACUGAGAGACGAAAGCUAGGGGAGCGAAUGGGAUUAGAUACCCCAGUAGUCCUAGCUGUAAAUGAUGGAUACUAGGCAUUGUGCGUAUCGACCUGUGCAGUGCUGUAGCUAAUGUGUUAAGUAUCCCACCCGGGGAGUACGCUCGCAAGAAUGAAACUCAAAGGAAUUGACGGGGGCCCGCACAAGCGGUGGAGCAUGUGGUUUAAUUCGAUGCAAAGCGAAGAACCUUACCAGGGCUUGACAUGCCGUGAAUCCUCUUGAAAGAGGGGGGGGGUGCCUUCGGGAUCGUGGACAGGUGGUGCAUGGCUGACGUCAGCUCGUGCCGUAAGGUGUUGGGUUAAGUCUCGUAACGAGUGCAACCCUCGUGUUUAGUUGCCAUUGUUGAGUUUGGAACCCUGAACAAACUGCUGGUGAUAAGCUGGAGGAAGGUGAGGAUGACCUCAAGUAAUCAUGCCCCUCAUGCCCUGGGCGACACACGUGCUACAAUGGCCGAGACAAAGGGUUGCGAUCCCGCAACGGUGAGCUAACUCCAAAAGAAGCAAAAAAUCCUACAGAUUUUAGGCCAUUCAGCUUGGUGACAAGCAUUUACAAAAUCCUGGCUAAAGUGUUAUCUUUGAGGGUUAAAGUAGUGCUGCUCUCCAUCAUUAGUCAAGCUCAAGGAGCAUUCAUUUAGGGGAGACAAAUAACAGAUCAGAUCCUAAUAGCAAAUGAGUGUUUGGAGGACAUGAG